rnacentral:rRNA from 1 species
UACGUAGGGGGCUAGCGUUGUCCGGAAUCAUUGGGCGUAAAGCGCGUGUAGGCGGCCCGGUAAGUCCGCUGUGAAAGUCCAGGGCUCAACCCUGGAAUGCCGGUGGAUACUGUCGGGCUCGAGUCCGGAAGAGGCGAGUGGAAUUCCUGGUGUAGCGGUGAAAUGCGCAGAUAUCAGGAGGAACACCGAUGGCGAAGGCAGCUCGCUGGGACGGUAACUGACGCUGAGACGGCGAAAGCGUGGGGAGCAAACAGGAUUAAGAAACCCU